rnacentral:rRNA from 1 species
AUUGAACGCUGGCGGCAGGCCUAACACAUGCAAGUCGAACGGUAACAGGAAGAAGCUUGCUUCUUUGCUGACGAGUGGCGGACGGGUGAGUAAUGUCUGGGAAACUGCCUGAUGGAGGGGGAUAACUACUGGAAACGGUAGCUAAUACCGCAUAACGUCGCAAGACCAAAGAGGGGGACCUUCGGGCCUCUUGCCAUCGGUUGUGCCCCGAUGGGAUUAGCUAGUAGGUGGGGUAACGGCUCACCUAGGCGACGAUCCCUAGCUGGUCUGAGAGGAUGACCAGCAACACUGGAACUGAGACACGGUCCAGACUCCUACGGGAGGCAGCAGUGGGGAAUAUUGCACAAUGGGCGCAAGCCUGAUGCAGCCAUGCCGCGUGUAUGAAGAAGGCCUUCGGGUUGUAAAGUACUUUCAGCGGGGAGGAAGGGAGUAAAGUUAACACCUUUGCUCAUUGACGUUACCCGAAGAAGAAGCACCGGCUAACUCCGUG